AGGUGGUGCAUGGUUGUCGUCAGCUCGUGUCGUGAGAUGUUGGGUUAAGUCCCGCAACGAGCGCAACCCUUGUCCUUAGUUGCCAGCAUUCAGUUGGGCACUCUAAGGAGACUGCCGGUGACAAACCGGAGGAAGGUGGGGAUGACGUCAAAUCAUCAUGCCCCUUAUGACCUGGGCUACACACGUGCUACAAUGGAUGGUACAAAGGGCUGCGAGACCGCGAGGCUUAGCCAAUCCCAUAAAACCAUUCUCAGUUCGGAUUGUAGGCUGCAACUCGCCUACAUGAAGCCGGAAUCGCUAGUAAUCGUGGAUCANCAUGCCACGGUGAAUACGUUCCCGGGUCUUG
rnacentral:rRNA from 1 species